rnacentral:rRNA from 1 species
CAGCAUUACAUCAAGGACAUCAUCUCACGCCUCAAGAGCAACUUUGCUAACGCGCACUUCCUGGUCUCGAACUUCCGGGAGGGACGGAGAUGGAGCCAGAGCCAGAGCCUGCUGGCCAAAAUCUUGAACAGCUAUGACAUGACUGUGAUGGAGUACCCGAGGCAAUAUGAGGGGUGUCCAAUCCUCACGAUGGAGAUGAUCUACCAUUUCCUCAAGUCAUCAGACAGUUGGCUCUCUGUGGGCCAGGACAAUGUCAUGAUAAUGCAUUGCGAGCGAGGCGGCUGGUCUGUACUUGCGUUCAUGUUAGCAGGACUGCUGCUGUGUAAAAAGAAGUUCACUGAUGAGCAGAAGAUGCUAGAGAUGGUCUACAAGCAAGCACCUCGUGAGCUUAUCCAGUUGCUCUCACCGAUAAAUCCCAUGCCUUCUCAGAUAAGAUACCUGCGAUAUAUAUCUCAUAGCAAUAUCAACUUACGUUCAAGCUGGCUACCAGGCGAUCGACCACUUACCUUAGACAAUGUAUUACUAAUAAGCAUUCCGGAUUUCAACGGGGAGGCUGGAUGCAGUCCAAUCUUCCGAAUUUAUGGGCAUGAUCCUCUGUCUGGUACAAAAAACAAUCCCAAGGUGGUUUUUUCUACAGCAAAGAAAUAUGUUAGGCUUUACAAGCAGGGAGAGGAUGACGGGAUCAAGAUUGACGUGCACUGCCAUAUUCAAGGCGAUGUUGUCCUUGAAUGCACCAGCAUGGAUACUGAGAAAGAACGAGAAGAGACAAUGUUCCGACUCAUGUUCAAUACAUCAUUUAUCAGAUCUGACAUUCUAGUGCUAGACCGUGAUGAAAUCGAUAUGAUGUGGGAUGCUAAAGAUCGAUUCCCGGAGAAUUUCAAAGUUGAGGUAAUGUAA